UACGGAGGGGGCGAGCGUUGUCCGAAGUUACUGGGCGUAAAGCGCGCGUAGGCGGGUUGCUAAGUCCGCUGUGAAAGCCCGAGGCUCAACCUCGGAGGGUCGGUGGAUACUGGCAGUCUUGAAGGUGGUAGGGGGAGAUGGAAUUACCGGUGUAGCGGUGAAAUGCGUAGAGAUCGGUAGGAACACCAGUGGCGAAGGCGGUCUCCUGGCCCACUCUUGACGCUGAGGCGCGAAAGCUGGGGGAGCGAACGGG
rnacentral:rRNA from 1 species